rnacentral:rRNA from 1 species
GUGUCAGCAGCCGCGGUAAGACGAACCGAGCGAACGUUGUUCGGAAUCACUGGGCUUAAAGGGCGCGUAGGCGGGUCAUCAAGUCCGGGGUGAAAUCUUCCGGCUUAACCGGAAAAGGGCCUUGGAUACUGGUGAUCUGGAGGGAGGUAGGGGCAGCUGGAACUUCCGGUGGAGCGGUGAAAUGCGUUGAUAUCGGAAGGAACUCCGGUGGCGAAGGCGAGCUGCUGGACCUCUUCUGACGCUGAGGCGCGAAAGCUAGGGGAGCAAACGGGAUUAGAUACCCCAGUAGUCC